UGGGGUGUGGCUCAGUGGUAGAACAUUAGUCUAGUAUGCAUAAGGCCCUGGAUUCAAUCUCCAGCAUCAUAA
rnacentral:tRNA from 1 species